GGGUCGUAGCCCUGAGUCGCCCGUGGAUACGCUUGUCCUUGGGAUAAGCUUAACCUAUAUGCGAAUUAACUUUAAAAACGUUAUUUUUAAAGCACAUAGGCAAAACUAGCUAAUAACUUCUCAUACAUUGCUCAAAAUAGGUAUCUGAAUAUACCACAGUGAUCUACACAACCUCAGGAUCAUCCCCAUACUUUUAGAAUUAUUUUUGGACCUCCCACGCGCUGCCACGCGCUGGCGGGUGCACGGCAAGACGCGCCACCACGCUCAGGGAAUCUUGACGGAUUCCUUAACUGCUGUUAGGAAUAUUCCUUUGAAUAUUCCAUUAAAACCCAAUGGAAACUGUCCAACUAACUGACGUCGUGAAAAUAUUUCAUUAGACUUGACGGAAUAUUCUUCCAUCUCCUGCCUCCAGCUCCGGCAACCGUCGCCGUCGCCGGAAAUUAGGCAAAUUUUCCAACUUCUUAAUCUAGCUCAUUUAUGCACCAUUUUUCAUGCAAUUACCAUCAAAAUGAAGUUUAGGAGGUAGAGAAUUGCAUUAUACCUCUUUCACGCCUCGAUUCGCGUGAAAUUACGUCAGAGAAGUCCUUGAAGUCCGGCGACCUCUGCAAAGCUCCGUUUUCGAGCUUUCCGUGGUCCAAAUCCUACCAACGAUGCACUCCGAGCAUCGUGAGGACCUCCUUGAGCUCACUGUGGUCCUAAAAUUCACAAAAACUCAAGGGUUUAAAAGUUGAUGAAUAGUGCCCAAGUCGAAGGUCCACUUUUCGGGGUUUUCUGACGUCCAAAAUCAUUCCAAUUUAUGCCAAAACAAGCAAGAGGACUAAGAGAUUACGUUUUGAGCCUUAGAAUGGCUUGAAACCUCCACCAACUGGUUUGGUGUAUUGUACACCCAUGACUCUUUUUCAAACUAGGGUUUCUCGAAGGUUUCCUUGUUGAAAAUGGGUACCACUCGACUCGUAAGGAUCCUAGGAACACACUGAAGACCUUAGAACCUUCAAUCCGUGCAGAUUUUGGGUUUGUUUGAGUGUGUCCGUACAAGUUUGAAGAGAGAGAGAGUGAACUAAGAGGAAAAGAGAGAGAAGUCCAUGGGAUAGAGAGAGAAGGUAUGUGUAUGGUCCAAAAGCCACCAAUCAAAACCAACAAUUUCCUUACUUCCAAUUGGGUCCAAAAACUUAGGGAAAAUAAUAAAUGGGUCCAAAUCCAACUUAAAUCACACCACACUUAACAUCCAAGGGUAAAAUUGUCAUUUCACUUCAUCAAAAAUUAGUUAUUUGGGACGGACUGUGACACUCGACACAGCAUCUGCAUUCGACGCCACCCGCCCAAGUAAAAUAAUAAAAUCCAUUUAAUUUAGCUAAUUCAAAUGCAGUUAUUUGCUAUUUUAACCAAAAAAAAAAAAAUGGAGAAGAAAAAUCUAAACCUAGCUAAAUGACUAGUAAAUAUAUUUACAAAACUUGAUUUUUAUCUUAAAAAAGAUGUGUUUUAGAUAUUUCGUCCCUUAAAAAAUUGUUCACAAUGUUGCUUGCUAGUGUGCUUUGUUGUUUAUUAUGGUUUGCAGGUUUUGGGAAUUGGUAUAAAUGUAGGGGAGGUUCUGUCGAAAUUUCGAUAAAUUUUUAACUUAAUGUAUGACGUUUGUUUUAUUGUUUUGCAGCUAAGAAAAACACCCAGGGACCUUGCCGAUAGUUGAAGACGGGGCAGGUCACCCGGGUGACAAAUGAUCGUAUCACGAUAGGAUAUGACAAGAGGCAUUGGGUUGCACCUACAGUGGAGCAGCAUAGUGCAUUGGCCCAUGACCUGGGAUAUGUCGUUAGGACCGAGUGCUCUAUGCUGUGAAAAUCAUGGCGCGAGAUCCUAGCGAAGACGAAGAACCUAGUCCGCAAUUGUUUAUCGACAAACUACAAUUUUGACGACAUAACUAAGUCGAUGGACAGCUACCUGGACAUGUUGUUUUAUGAGCGGUACAAGCAGUGGAAGAGAGACCUCCACAAACAUUAUGAGUUGUUUGAUGCUCCGGAGGUCGCUCUAGAGGAGGAUCGCCCGAUGGAGUUGGAGGAUCGGUCGGACGAGAGGGUGUGGCUCUACGGCCAUUUUGAGGACCCUGCCUAUGUGAAGAAGGCGAAAGCGAACAAGAUCAAUCGGGAUAAGAAAACUCUUCUCCACCAUUCUGGUUUGAGACCCUUCUCCAAUAGGAUGGAGGCACGACGACAAGGAUUCUAAAUUCCCAGAAAUAGACGUCUUUAAGGAUGUUUAUGUUCGGCCCAGGGAUGAGCUUGCCAAGCAACUGCACUCGACGAUGGUAGAGAGGAUCCAGACCGUCCUUCAGGAGUCUACCUCUUAACUUCCCCCAGACACUCCUAUUGAGUGUGUGGCUCCGCCCAAGGAUGCGGGGUUUCAGAUCUUGAUUGAGACCUUGGAUGUGACCUUCGGGCGGAGGCCGGGGAAGUAUUGUCGAGGGAUGGGGCAUGCUCGUUAGCGCUAUUGGGGCCUCAUCAUCAUCGCAACCAUAGGGCCCUGGCAUCACUGAACUGACCUAUGAAGUGGCCGACCUGACGAGUAAGCUCGCGCUGAUAGUUGAGGCCCUCAGCUCGAAUGGCAUCCAUCUCCUACUCGGCGUUAUGGUCCCUUCCACCUUCGAGCCACAUAACUCGUUGGCCUCCAGCCCGUCCAGCAGCCCGACCAUCAUCCUCCCCAACACACUGACUUGCAGCCUGACUCGCACCCUGACUCGUACCACAACCCCAUUUAUUGACCAAAUAGAUUAUAGGUUUCUUUUUUCUUAGUUUUAAACUUUUUACUUGUACGUACAUUUUUAUUUGAUAUA